ACGGGUGAGUAAUAUGUAGGAAAUCUGCCUUAGAGAGGGGGACAACAGAGGGAAACUUCUGCUAAUACCCCAUAUGAGCUACCUUGAAAUAGGUAUCUUGAAAACUCCGGUGCUCUAAGAUGAGCCUGCAUCUGAUUAGCUUGUUGGUGGUGUAAUGGACUACCAAGGCGACGAUCAGUAGCUGGUUUGAGAGGAUGAUCAGCCACAAUGGGACUGAGACACGGCCCAUACUCCUACGGGAGGCAGCAGUAGGGGAUUUUGCGCAAUGGGCGAAAGCCUGACGCAGCAACGCCGCGUGAAUGUUAAGCCCUUCGGGGUGUAAAGUUCUGUCAGUGGGGACGAAACUUGACGGUACCCACAGAGGAAGCACCGGCUAACUCCGUGCCAGCAACCGCGGUAAUACGGAGGGUGCAAGCGUUGUCCGGAAUCAUUGGGCGUAAAGAGUUCGUAGGUGGUAUGUUAAGUCUGGUGUUAAAGCCCGAAGCUCAACUUCGGUUCGGCACUGGAUACUGGCAAACUUGAAUGUGGUAGAGGUAAAGGGAAUUCCUGGU
rnacentral:rRNA from 1 species